GGAUUAGUGGCGAACGGGUGAGUAACACGUGAGUAACCUGCCCUUAACUCUGGGAUAAGCCUGGGAAACUGGGUCUAAUACCGGAUAUGACUCCUCAUCGCAUGGUGGGGGGUGGAAAGCUUUAUUGUGGUUUUGGAUGGACUCGCGGCCUAUCAGCUUGUUGGUGAGGUAAUGGUCUCACCACAUGGGCGACGACGGGUAGCCGGCCUGAGAGGGUGACCGUCCACACUGGGACUGAGACACGGCCCAGACUCCUACGGGAGGCAGCAGUGGGGAAUAUUGCACAAUGGGCGCAAGCCUGAUGCAGCGACGCCGCGUGAGGGAUGACGGCCUUCGGGUUGUAAACCUCUUUCAGUAGGGAAGAAGCGAAAGUGACGGUACCUGCAGAAGAAGCGCCGGCUAACUACGUGCCAGCAGCCGCGGUAAUACGUAGGGCGCAAGCGUUAUCCGGAAUUAUUGGGCGUAAAGAGCUCGUAGGCGGUUUGUCGCGUCUGCCGUGAAAGUCCGGGGCUCAACUCCGGAUCUGCGGUGGGUACGGGCAGACUAGAGUGAUGUAGGGGAGACUGGAAUUCCUGGUGUAGCGGUGAAAUGCGCAGAUAUCAGGAGGAACACCGAUGGCGAAGGCAGGUCUCUGGGCAUUAACUGACGCUGAGGAGCGAAAGCAUGGGGAGCGAACAGGAUUAGAUACCCUGGUAGUCCAUGCCGUAAACGUUGGGCACUAGGUGUGGGGGACAUUCCACGUUUUCCGCGCCGUAGCUAACGCAUUAAGUGCCCCGCCUGGGGAGUACGGCCGCAAGGCUAAAACUCAAAGGAAUUGACGGGGGCCCGCACAAGCGGCGGAGCAUGCGGAUUAAUUCGAUGCAACGCGAAGAACCUUACCAAGGCUUGACAUGGACCGGACCGGGCUGGAAACAGUCCUUCCCCUUUGGGGCCGGUUCACAGGUGGUGCAUGGUUGUCGUCAGCUCGUGUCGUGAGAUGUUGGGUUAAGUCCCGCAACGAGCGCAACCCUCGUUCCAUGUUGCCAGCGCGUAAUGGCGGGGACUCAUGGGAGACUGCCGGGGUCCAACUCGGAGGAAGGUGGGGACGACGUUCAAAUCAUCAUGCCCCUUAUGUCUUGGGCUUCACGCAAUGCUACAAAUUGGCCGGUACAAAGGGUUGCGAUACUGUGAGGUGGAGCUAAUCCCAAAAAGCCGGUCUCAGUUCGGAUUGGGGUCUGCAACUCGACCCCAUGAAGUCGGAGUCGCUAGUAAUCGCAGAUCAGCAACGCUGCGGUGAAUACGUUCCCGGGCCUUGUACACACCGCCCGUCAAGUCACGAAAGUUGGUAACACCCGAAGCCGGUGGCCUAACCC
rnacentral:rRNA from 1 species